GGGUGCUUAAGACUUUCUGUCUUAAGCCGACGCGAGGGACAGAAAGAAGAAAGCCCCGGGCAAUAUUCCUAUUAACCCGAGGCUAUCCCUCAACUCCACACAAGUUGAGAUUAGCCGCUUACUCGCCGAAAGGCAAGGAGUAAAAGGCAUGAAG
rfam:Cronobacter sakazakii ATCC BAA-894, complete genome.